UGUUUUAAAUAAAUAUUUUAAUUUGUCCACGUACAUCAGUAAAAUCUUUGUCUCUGCAAAGAAUGUUUCAUAAAAUGUUGCUUUUGGGUAUCUUUUGAUGCUUUGGUACUCCGAGGAUAUAGCAAUUUAACCAUUUAUAAAAAUGUUCAAGAUACAACUAUAUCUUGUACUUUAAAGUGCUUAAAUCAGUUUAUUACAAUUCAUACAGUUACACCAAAAAUAAUUCUAUAAAACUGAGAGUUACUGACAAUUUUCCGUACGAAACUAUAUUUUUUAUCUAUGAAAGUAUAAUCCAAAUUCAAAUAAAAAACAUUUAAUAAUUAAGGUGGUAUUGUUAUUGUUAAGGUGGUAUUGUAUUAAAGCUUGAAAAAAAAAAAUUAGUCUAUUUAAAAGUAAAACAAUACUUUAAAAUAAUUUUUGUUUGCAAUGCAAAAAUCAAUAUAAAUCUUGUGACGCGCGGUGUUCAACUGUAGUCAGCGCCAAGCGCUUACCGAGGAAGGACGUCGCUCGCUGUUGCGCCGCGUAAACUCGCCGGAGGUCGAAAAAUAUAGCGCAACCUGCGCAACUAACACGUUUUGAUACUAGAUAAUGAAAGCAUAUUUAAUUCAGACUAUCAGACUCAAUUGAAUACCAGUACAAAUAAUAUGGAAAAUGAAGAUACAAUACAUGGAAGACGAAUUAUAGAUUUUAGUUUUUUUAUAAAUC